CUCCAAUAGCGUAUAUUAAAGUUGUUGCAGUUAAAAAGCUCGUAGUUGAAUUUCGGGGUUAGCAGGUUGGUCGUGCCACCGGUAUGUACUGGCCUCGCUGAUCCCUCCCUCUUGAUGAGCCGUAAUGCCAUUAAUUUGGUGUUGCGAGGAAUCAGGACUGUUACUUUGAAAAAAUUAGAGUGUUUAAAGCAGGCUCACGCUUGAAUACAUUAGCAUGGAAUAACGAAAUAGGACGUUUGAUUCUAUUUUGUUGGUUUCUAGGAUCGACGUAAUGAUUAAUAGGGAUAGUUGGG
rnacentral:rRNA from 1 species